CAUUUAAAAAUGUGAAUAUCUUUCUGUCAUGAUUUUUAAAAAUGGAAUCCCAGUUUAUGAAUAGGCUAUUUCUUUACCAAUCCCCUAUGAAUAGAUAAUUUAGUAUUUUUUAAUCUCUAGCAAUUUUGCACAAUGUUAUAAUCAAAAUCUUCAUGGCUAAAUCUCUGUCAGCACUUCGCAAUUCUUGUCUGAGGGUAAAUUGCCCAAAACAGGAGUGGUGGCUCAAAAGGUACAUAUAUUUCUUAGGUGUUGAUUGUAUUACUGAAUAUAUUGCUGAAUUCAUGCAGUUUUAAUUGUCUUGUGUCCUUUAUUUUUGGAGACAAUGAAUUACAGUUGGACUCAGGCAUCCUCUGAGCAUGAAUACUGCCUUAUAAUAAGGCAUGUCUGGGCGUACUUGUACACAUGCAUACUUAUAUGUGAGCAGUCUUGAUAUUAUGCCAUUCUGUGAUUACUUGGGCAGAAAUGCUAUGUACAUUUAUAUGAAUAUCUUCUUUUUCCCAGAGAUUACUAUAGAAAAAAAGUCACUAUACAUUUUCAAAUUUUCAGAGAAUUUCCAACUGAUUCUCUAAGAUCCUUCUAGCCCUAAUAGCUUGAGUUUAUUUUUACACAUUUAUUGUGCAAAUACUCUGUGCUCAGUGAUGAGGCCUUUGGCAUGAAGAAGCACUGUGUUUGGGUAAAAGAGAACUGCACAACAAUGGCAGACAUACAGUGUCAGUGGUGAGUUGUGUAGCCUAGACAGAAGAGCUGUAGGCACUAAGAGAAGUCAGGAUGUUCCCUGGAGUAGGGAGACAUGGAAUGGAGGGAGAUCUUGGAAGAUGCUGGGAAGAACAGGAAUUCUUUCUCUCUCUCUCUCUCUCUUUUUUUUUUUUUUCCUUUUGUUUUCUUCCCUCUGAUGCUAGCUGUUUAUGCUUACAUCUUUAAAGUCUUAAAUGUAGAGGGAAAAAAACCUGUUUCUCCGCUCUAGUUUGAAAAAUCUUAAGCAGCAGUCUGACUGGCCUGGCUGGAUGGGCCUGCACAUGGAGCAGUAUUGGCCCAAGGGGAGAAAUCAUGAUUGGCCAGCUUGUGUCAAAUGUCUGUCCACACCUGAGGUCAGGGAGGUGGAGCUGUUACUUUAAGAGGGAAAAAGGUCAUUUGUUUGUGGAAUCUAAAAAAGCUGAAUUCAUAGAAGCAGAGUAGAAUGGAGGUUACCAGAGGCUGGGGUUAGGGAGAUGGGAAGAAAUGGACUACAAAUUCUGGUUAUAAGAAGAAUAUAUUCUAGGGAUCCAAUGUGUAGCAUGGUGACAAUAGUUAACACUAUUAUACUGUGUACUUGAUAGUUGCUAGAAGAGUAGAUUUUAAAUGUUAUCAUAACAAUAAUCAAAGUGGUAGUUAUGAGAGUGAAGCAUAUGUUAACUUUUUUGUGUAAAUGUUUCACAGUACAUACGCGUAGCAAAUCAUAUUGUAGACCUUAAACUUAUACAAUAUUGUGUCAAUUAUAUUUCGGUAAAGCUAAGAGGAAUGGAAAAAACAAUAGUGGGUAAACUAAAACAGGAUGAGCAUUUAAGAUGGGUUGGAUUUAUUGGAUAAAAUAUUUAGUAGAGUAUGUCAGUAGCAGGUGAUCAAACUAUAUGAAUUAAACGAAUAAACAAUUGAAUGAAAGAGCACACAUGGGAGUAGAAGAGAAAGUUUCUCUUUGAUUACCAGAAUUUUAUAUUAAUUAUUCAUUUAAUCUUCAUAAAAUCUUUCAGAUGUUUGUUUAUAUUUACAGAUAAGGAAAGUGAAGAGGUUAAAUCAGAGCCCUUCAUUAAUAGCUAAUAUUCCAACAUAGUUAAUGUGAUUCUUCUAAAGCCAUGAUCCAUGUACCCUGUCUUAGACAGAGGUUGGUUAAAAAUCAAAGGAAAACAAAACAAGCAAACAGCAACAAGUUAAUGUACAAGCAAAAAAUAGUUUCAUAGUAACAGUUCUUUCUUGGGUUUCUAGAAUGCCAUGAAGAAGAAUACUUAUACCUUUCUGUGAUCUCAUCCUGCGCUGGUGUUGAGCCUUGUUCAUUUCUGAGCUCCUGACCUAGUUUGCAGUCCUCUAGUCUUUUUCUUCCCUGCCCCCGUCCUGACUCUGCAUUCCAAAGCUUAAAAUAACUCGUGUUGAAGAGUAAGACUCCUUGGACUUAAGGAAAGAUAAGCUAGAAUCUGUUUUAACGGGUGAGCUGGGGAAAGGCUGUGAAAAUUUCUGCAUUUCUAAUUUAGCUACAACACACUUUUUAGUGGAACUGUGAUUUUGACUCAGAUCUCUCUCCAAGAUCUAUCUGUGUGUGUGUGUGUUUUCUUUUCUCCUCCUCCGUUCUAUCUGGGGAAAGUAGUGGAAUAACAUGGUCAAAGAUUGAUUAUCCCAGGUGCUAUUUUCUUGAUCUCUGUUGUAUUAAAGUUUAUAAUUUCCAGCACUUAAUAAAAUACCAAAUAAUAUAUAGCAAUCUACAUUUCUCAUUGUUUUCUCUUUGACUUAGGUCAACACAGCCUACACUGUUCCCUCAGCCUGGUACCCUUUUCCUUCUUGUCAUCUGGUAAAUGCCUGCUCAUCCCCAAUAACCUGGCUGGUGCGUUAUCUUCUCUGCGAUGCCUUCUCUUAGGAUUCACAAAAUUUUGUGCCUAUAUCAUCAGUGUUGUCUUAGCACAGUGUGUUAUAAAUAUUGUUUACUCAUUUGGCAACACCAGGACACUGUGCUUCUUCAAGGUGUGGAUCAUACCUUGUUCACCUGUGCAUCCCCUCCAGUGUCCAGCAUGGCGUCUGCCACUUUACAGGUACUCAGACAUUUUUUAAAUAAAUAAAAAAAAUACUCAGUUAUUCCUAUAGAAGUGGAGGGCUGUGCACCAGAUGGGAUGUUCAGUAACACUAACAUCGAUUGAUCCGAGAGCAAGAGAAAGAUGCUGUAUGUCCUUGAGCAGGGGAUGACAUGAUAAAAUUCAUGUUUUAGAAGAAUAGAUGUGGCAGCAAGAUCCAUUAUUUGAAACUUUCAGGCCUUGGAAUAAUUGCCAGUGUUUUGAUGUUCUUCUGUAGCUUUGGGGAUACAAAUGGAACUAAUGGGAAAGAAACUCUUCUGGGAACUUCUCAGAAGUAACUGGUACUGAUUCAGCAAAACAAGCCUUCAGAAAGGAUCCCAGCAUGUUACCUUGUUCCCCAAGGCUCCAAGAAU
rnacentral:lncRNA from 1 species